CUCACGCGAUAUUACAUAUUUAAUUACAAUGAUUUGGCACACUUCAGUCAGGCAAAACGAACAAGAUUACAAGAGUACGAGAAAAGCGACCGUUCGGUGUCUUGAACGAGUCAAGGAUUGAAACGCACGCCAGUCGGCGGAGAGUCACGUCAGUGACGAUAGAAGGUGAGCGGCAGCGACUCGAACGACCAACGGAUUGGAUAACGUUAGAAAAGAGCUGUUUCAAAGGCAUAUCCCGUCUCCUAUUACUACGACAUCGUACAUAAGCGCUGCUUAUUAUUAGAAUGAGAAAACUGACCAAGGUAUUGUGGGAAGUACUAGUAGUUGGGGCUCUGACACUCACCAAGGGAGCCCUAUCUGGGAAUUCGCACCUGGUGAAAAAUGCCCCCACCUAUUACAUCAACGGUCCAGCGAAUAACUUCAGAGACGCUGUGAGAUCUGAGGGCUUCAUCAUAUCGAAAGAGGAUGCCCACUGGGAGAGCCCAAUGACGCCAGAGUGCGAAUGCCGAGCACUCUGCUGGACCUAUAUUCCGUGCCUAGGACACUCUACUCAUAAAGAGGGCGGGAAAGUGACAUGCCGAGUAACAACCAAACCUCCAUAUAACCUAACUCUGGUAGCCAACUCCGGUGGGAUCUACUCGUUCUGGAGGAGCUCCAUCAACUACUACAUAUACAGGGUUUACGGGAACUUGCUUUACCUGGUUCCGAAAGCAACCAUGAAUUACGGUGACAGCAAAGCAUACUGUGAAAGGAUACCUGGACAUCGGCUUGGGAUGUUUAAGGACAUCAGUCUCCUCAGGAUCCUAUCAAGAAUUCAUACGACAACAGGGGUGGAGCUGUGGAUUGACCUACACAAUUCCCCAGAUGGGCCAGCUUGGGGUGACGGAGUUCUCCUAGACAAGAACCUCGCGUUGACCGUUUUCCGUACCCUUGUCUACAACACGAGCGAUACCGAUCCUGUACGAGUUAAAACGUGGAAUCAAUUAGACGACAAUCCGGCAAAUAAUACCAGGUGUUUCGUCUGUCAGGUAAAUCUCGGUGGGCUACACUGGUAAGGGCACCUUCCACCUAGUGACAUGAGAUGCAACAAUUUAGCCCUCACACCUUGAAAAUUAAAUGAUGACAUCACUUAGGCUAAUGAGCAUCAGCGUGCAAACUUGACAAAACAGGUCUGAUUAAAUAGGCCUACUUAAUCACAUACUCUUGUCUGUCGCAGACGUCCAAUGUAUUCAUAAUCAUGUCUAUCAUAAAUUAGAAAAAAAUCUCACAAUGCUCUAAAAAUGAAUAUGACAGCAAUGUAAUCAAAAGCAAAGUAUUACUUUCUGAUCGCAUGGGUUGUUUACAAAUGUAUUAUGACUAUGAAUCAAUUGUCGUUUAAUGUCAUGUUCAUAUAUCCUUAACAUUUUUAACUUGGCUGAUUAUCAUAUAAAGAAACAGGGUUUAUAAAUACUGACAAGACACCUGUGUACUUCUGCUGUGUUUAAUUUUGCUUAGCUUAUGUUUUUCAACUAAAAUACCCAAAGAAACACCUGCUAUCACACGUUGCCCCUACGUCUGGUGAACUACCACGUGAGCAAUCAGCUGAUGCUCCAAUACCAUCCUCCCUGGCUUCUCCGCUCAAAACUCCCCAAUAGCUGGUAAUCAUUAACAAAAAUAACAUCUCUUCAUGAGAAAUGAACGGACAAAAUCAGGUCCUACGUUCAGAUUCUUGACUGGUAAGUCUUAUUGCAUAAAAAAUAAAAUAAAAAAUAAUGGCCAUUUUCUCAAGACUAAUCUUUUCUAUGUUCAAAAUCUACAUACCUCCUCACUGAUCAAUUUCCAAAUUCCAAAUGGUAUGAUUUCUUGAUUAUUACUCCAUGAUUACAAUUUUUCAUUUUGAUGAAUAUUUAUACGAAAGUUGUUGUGUUGUUUAAAUUUUGUAACUUUUGUCUUUAUCCUAUUUUGAAAGUCUCAAAGAAUAUGUAUUUUAUGCACAUUUCAAGCCUUUCACUGAAUUUUGGAAGUGAAAAAUGAGACAUAAAAUUAAGGAAGCCUAAAUAUUUUGGAAAUUU